UACGUAGGAGGCAAGCGUUGUCCGGAAUCACUGGGCGUAAAGCGCACGUAGGCGGAUUGCUAAGUCAGGGGUGAAAUCCUGGAGCUCAACUCCAGAACUGCCUUUGAUACUGGCGAUCUUUGAGUCCGGGAGAGGUGAGUGGAACUGCGAAGUGUAGAGGUGAAAUUCGUAGAUAUUCGCAAGAACACCGGUGGCGAAGGCGGCUACUCUGGACCGGUACUGACGGCUGAGACGCGAAAAGCCAGGGGGA
rnacentral:rRNA from 1 species